rnacentral:rRNA from 1 species
ACUCGGGGCCUGCAGGCGAAACUGUGGUGCUGGAGUGUGGGAGAGGUGCGUGGAAUUCCCGGUGUAGCGGUGAAAUGCGUAGAUAUUGGGAGGAACACCGGUGGCGAAGGCGGCUCUCUGGACUGUCACUGACGCUGAGGCGCGAAAGCUAGGGGAGCAAACGGGAUUAGAUACCCUGGUAGUCCACGCCGUAAACGAUGAUCACUCGAUGUGUGCGAUAUACAGUACGCGUCUAAGUAAAAGCAUUAAGUGAUCCACCUGGGGAGUACGUCGGCAACGAUGAAACUCAAAGGAAUUGACGGGGGCCCGCACAAGCGGAGGAACAUGUGGUUUAAUUCGAUGAUACGCGAGGAACCUUACCUGGGUUUGAACGUAGAGAGACUGGUGCUGAAAGGUGCCUUCCCUUCGGGGCUGUCUACGAGGUGCUG